rnacentral:rRNA from 1 species
UGGGGAAUUUUGGACAAUGGGCGAAAGCCUGAUCCAGCAAUGCCGCGUGUGUGAAGAAGGCCUUCGGGUUGUAAAGCACUUUUGUCCGGAAAGAAAUCCUUGGCUCUAAUACAGUCGGGGGAUGACGGUACCGGAAGAAUAAGCACCGGCUAACUACGUGCCAGCAGCCGCGGUAAUACGUAGGGUGCAAGCGUUAAUCGGAAUUACUGGGCGUAAAGCGUGCGCAGGCGGUUUGCUAAGACCGAUGUGAAAUCCCCGGGCUAACCUGGGAACUGCAUUGGUGACUGGCAGGCUAGAGUAUGGCAGAGGGGGGUUAGAAUUCCACGUGUAGCAGUGAAAUGCGUAGAGAUGUGGAGGAAUACCGAUGGCGAAGGCAGCCCCCUGGGCCAAUACUGACGCUCAUGCACGAAAGCGUGGGGAGCAAACAGGAUUAGAUACCCUGGUAGUCCACGCCCAAACGAUGUCAACUAGUUGUUGGGGAUUCAUUUCCUUAGUAACGUAGCUAACGCGUGAAGUUGACCGCCUGGGGAGUACGGUCGCAAGAUUAAAAGUUCAAAUGAAUUGACGGGGUCAUAGCUGUUUCCU